rnacentral:rRNA from 1 species
CCUACGGGUGGCAGCAGUGGGGAAUAUUGCACAAUGGGGGGAACCCUGAUGCAGCGACGCCGCGUGAGUGAAGAAGUAUUUCGGUAUGUAAAGCUCUAUCAGCAGGAACGAGACAAGACGGUACCUGACUAAGAAGCCCCGGCUAACUACGUGCCAGCAGCCGCGGUAAUACGUAGGGGGCAAGCGUUAUCCGGAAUCACGGGGGGUAAAGGGAGCGUAGACGGCUGAGCAAGCCUGAAGUGAAAGGCGGGGGCCCACCCCCCGGACGGCUUGGGGAACGGUACGGCUGGAGUGCAGGAGAGGUAAGUGGAAUUCCUGGUGUAGGGGUGAAAUGCGUAGAUAUUAGGAGGAACACCAGUGGCGAAGGCGGCUUACUGGACGGUAACUGACGUUGAGGCUCGAAAGCGUGGGGAGCAAACAGGAUUAGAUACCCGAGUAGU